rnacentral:rRNA from 1 species
UACCAGCUCUCCGAGUGGUGUGGAUGUUUAUUGGGCCUAAAGCAUCCGUAGCUGGCUGGACAAGUCCCCUGUUAAAUCCACCGAUUUAAUCGUUGGUGUGCGGGGGAUACUGUUCGGCUAGGGGACGGGAGAGGCAGACGGUAUUUUCGGGGUAGGGGUGAAAUCCUAUAAUCCCGGGAAGACCACCAGUGGCGAAGGCUGUCUGCUAGAACGCGCCCGACGGUGAGGGACGAAAGCUGGGGGAGCGAACCGGAUUAGAUACCCGGGUAGUCCCAGCUGUAAACGAUGCAGGCUAGGUGUUUGGACGCACGUGCCGUUCUAGUGCCGCAGGGAAGCCGUUAAGCCUGCCGCCUGGGGAGUACGGCCGCAAGGCUAGAAACUUAAAGGAAUUGGCGGGGGAGCACCGACGAAGGGGCGAAGCUUGCGGUUU